rnacentral:sRNA from 1 species
UGCACAUGGGUUAGUCGAU